GUGUCUUUGCAUUUCCAAGCUAGAGUGAAAAUGAGAGAUUGUAUAUUCUUACAAUCAGCAGCAACAUGAAAAAAAAAACCUUCCUCUUCCAUUCGUAUAGGUUUCUUUGCCGGUCAUUAGCCUCAUAGUAAUUCCCUUAUUACCUCUGAACUAUAUGAAAGCAUUACUCUCCGGCCGGCCAGUACAUGCAUACUCCAGGACAAAAGCUCAGCAAUAAUCAGUGUGGCUGCGUCCAAUAAUCCAAUUCCACGGUUCCACCAACGAUUCCAUGAUUCCUUGGCCCGCAUGUGCACCUGCUACGCCGGAGAUCACAUCGUACGAGCUCAAAUACUAGUUUAAUUAACUUACGACCUGCCAGGAUGCUUCAUCUUGGCUUCUUGCAUUGCGGCUAAUCAUGCAGUAAUGCAUGCAUGCGCUCGUCGUCAGGUUCGUCACAGCUCCAUCAUAUCCCAACGCUACGCGACGCUGCAGCAGGUACAGGUGUUCGCCGCCGCCGCCGCCGCUUCGUUCUCUUGCGGGUCUAAUCGCGACUGCUGAUUGCUCCAGGUAGGCUGGCGCGGAUCUAACAAUAAACCGGAAGCGAUCGAGGCAGCCGCAUGAUGGGUUUGGUGGAGCACGCGGCCGCGGUUGUAUGUUGCCUCUGCCUUCCUCUCUUCCGGCUUUCCUGGAUUCCUAGUUGACGAUGCAUGGCAUGGGUGGGUGCUGGGUGCAUGUGCUCGUGGAUCCUGUCUCUGAUUGCACAGCGAGCACGAGCACCUGUAUUACUCUCUGUUUAGUUCCAGGAUGCACCUGCGAUUCUGCAUCAUACAAUUACUCUCUGUUUUUACAAGGCUUAUUUAUUUAAUCGACAGGUAUACAUUAUUCUAUUAAUACAUAUUUUUUUGACAAAAUUGAUAUCAUUGUAUUUGUAUUAAAUAAUAAUUGUUUAUGAUUACACUCCUUGUCAGUCAAAAUCUUGUCCUAACUAAACAAAAUAUAUUUUAUUAAAAAUAGAGGGAGUAGCAAUUAUAUAUCAUUUUAGGAAUAUUUAUAUUAAUCCCUAGAUAAGACCUAAUAGAAAACAAGACAAACUCUAGAAAUUCUGAAAGAAGCAAAACACAUAACCAUUAUAUCUAAAUCAUCUAUAAGUUACCCAUCUUUAGCGUUAUAAAAUUUAACCUAUGGUACCGAAGAGGCCGGGAGAAAAGUCGCUCGGCCUCCUGAGCCGGGCGACUCGGGGGCGACCAAGUCGCGCUGCCGCCGCCGGCCCUCCCCUCCGGCGAGCGUCCCCCGCGGCCGCCUCCGGCUCCGGCGGCGGCUGGCUCCGAGCCACAGCAGCAGCUCCCAACACCCCAUGCCCCUCUCCUCCCCUCCUUCUUCAAUGGAUCUUGGUGCUUCUCCUUGCCUGGUGGCCGAUCUCCUCCAUGGGCCUUGUGGUCAGCUUGGAGAUGCUGCCAGGUGCUGGAUCUGGACCCCUAGGGGCUCGAUCUAGCCGCUUGGUGCUGCCCGCCCCUUCCUCCUCGUGUUGUGCUCCUCCCCCUCAGCUGACCUUUCCCGCUCGUCUGUGACGGUGGUUGUGCCUUCGUCUACGGGAGGGGGCUUGGUGCUACCACUGGCUACUGCCGGUGUGCUGGCGCGUAGUGCCUGCAUGCUGGCCACGGAUUCGGGUCGCCGGCGCGGCUGCCUCCCAGCAUCCCAUACUCGCUCCUCCGCUUUCGAGGAGCUUGGCUUGGUGGAUGCCAUCGUCCUUGCGAUGUUGAUUCUGUGCCUGUGGCUGCACUACGAGAGUGCCACGCUCGGCGUGCGGGGGGUGCCUUGCACCUCUACGCGGCCUUGGCAAAGAUCCUAGCCUCUUCGCUACCUCAUAUAGCUGUGAUGUCGGAAGUUGUGCAGCGAGAGCGCCACGCCAGGUGCGCGGGGAGGUGCUCCACCUCCGCACAUCCCGACGAGGGAUAUUUUCCUUUCUCCAUCAGCAUCUGCAAUGCUUUGUGGUCACCGCGUUUGCCUACUGUUCUCGGUUGUAGCUGCUUCCAAGGGCUUCCUUCCCCCAGCGUGCGGUUGAUGGUUGCUGUAUGGUGUGGCAACUUGAGAAGCUGGUCCUUUACCAACUUUUUGCGGGUGGUUGCAGCCAACCAUGGCUGCUGAGCGCUGGCUGGCUCAUCGGUCUUGACAAUGACAUUGUUCAGGUGGGGGGUUUGUCCCUCCCCUGUUGCCCUGUCUCGUUGUCAUAGGCUGGUUUUCCUCCUGGUGCUUGGUACCCAUUUGCAAAUUGGAGGUCUUCGUAUGCAAGCCAAUAGUCUUGACAAUGACAUUGUUUAGGUGGGGGGUUUGUCCCUCCCCUGUUGCCCUGUCUCGUUGUCAUAGGCUGGUUUUUCUCCUGGUGCUUGGUACCCAUUUGCGAAUUGGAGGUCUUCGUAUGCAGAGUUUCAUAGUGGUGGUUCUUACCAACAAAUCGGCUUCUUAGUGAUAACCGGUGUUUCCUCGAGCAGGGUCAAUUUAUCUUUUUGUUGUAUGGUGUUGGGUGUGUGUGCUGCGAUGAAAUCCUUUGUGGCUCCGUGUCUCCUUUUUGCCAAUUUUAUCUUAAUCACCGCCUCCUAGCUUGAAAGGGCGGGUGCCUGAUCUUGUAAUGUUCUUUUUAUGAAAUGAAAAGGUUCAGGAGGGCUUUCUUGGCCCCCCGUUGAUUCUAAAAAAA